GCGACCGUCGUCCAACGGAUAGGAUAGAAGCCUCCGAAGCUUUAGAUACAGGUUCGAUUCCUGUCGGUCGCACCA
rnacentral:tRNA from 1 species